rnacentral:rRNA from 1 species
UACGUAGGGAGCGAGCGUUAUCCGGAUUUAUUGGGUGUAAAGGGUGCGUAGACGGGAAUUUAAGUUAGUUGUGAAAUCCCUCGGCUCAACUGAGGAGCUGCAACUAAAACUGAAUUUCUUGAGUACUGGAGAGGAAAGUGGAAUUCCUAGUGUAGCGGUGAAAUGCGUAGGUAUUAGGAGGAACACCAGUGGCGAAGGCGACUUUCUGGACAGAAACUGACGUUGAGGCACGAAAGUGUGGGGAGCUAAC